UCGUCACACUAUCAUUAACUGAAUCCAUAGGUUAAUGAGGCGAACCGGGGGAACUGAAACAUCUAAGUACCCCGAGGAAAAGAAAUCAACCGAGAUUCCCCCAGUAGCGGCGAGCGAACGGGGAGGAGCCCAGAGCCUGAAUCAGCAUGUGUGUUAGUGGAAGCGUCUGGAAAGGCGCGCGAUACAGGGUGACAGCCCCGUACACAAAAGCGCAUGUGCUGUGAGCUCGAUGAGUAGGGCGGGACACGUGGUAUCCUGUCUGAAUAUGGGGGGACCAUCCUCCAAGGCUAAAUACUCCUGACUGACCGAUAGUGAACCAGUACCGUGAGGGAAAGGCGAAAAGAACCCCGGCGAGGGGAGUGAAAAAGAACCUGAAACCGUGUACGUACAAGCAGUGGGAGCACCCUUUUGGGUGUGACUGCGUACCUUUUGUAUAAUGGGUCAGCGACUUAUAUUCUGUAGCAAGGUUAACCGAAUAGGGGAGCCGGAGGGAAACCGAGUCUUAAUUGGGCGUUAAGUUGCAGGGUAUAGACCCGAAACCCGGUGAUCUAGCCAUGGGCAGGUUGAAGGUUGGGUAACACUAACUGGAGGACCGAACCGACUAAUGUUGAAAAAUUAGCGGAUGACCUGUGGCUGGGGGUGAAAGGCCAAUCAAACCGGGAGAUAGCUGGUUCUCCCCGAAAGCUAUUUAGGUAGCGCCUCGUGAAUUCAUCUCCGGGGGUAGAGCACUGUUUCGGCUAGGGGGCCAUCCCGGCUUACCAACCCGAUGCAAACUGCGAAUACCGGAGAAUGUUAUCACGGGAGACACACGGCGGGUGCUAACGUCCGUCGUGAAGAGGGAAACAACCCAGACCGCCAGCUAAGGUCCCAAAGUCAUGGUUAAGUGGGAAACGAUGUGGGAAGGCCCAGACAGCCAGGAUGUUGGCUUAGAAGCAGCCAUCAUUUAAAGAAAGCGUAAUAGCUCACUGGUCGAGUCGGCCUGCGCGGAAGAUGUAACGGGGCUAAACCAUGCACCGAAGCUGCGGCAGCGACACUAUGUGUUGUUGGGUAGGGGAGCGUUCUGUAAGCCUGUGAAGGUGUGCUGUGAGGCAUGCUGGAGGUAUCAGAAGUGCGAAUGCUGACAUAAGUAACGAUAAAGCGGGUGAAAAGCCCGCUCGCCGGAAGACCAAGGGUUCCUGUCCAACGUUAAUCGGGGCAGGGUGAGUCGACCCCUAAGGCGAGGCCGAAAGGCGUAGUCGAUGGGAAACGGGUUAAUAUUCCCGUACUUGGUGUUACUGCGAAGGGGGGACGGAGAAGGCUAUGUUGGCCGGGCGACGGUUGUCCCGGUUUAAGCGUGUAGGUGUGUGUUCCAGGUAAAUCCGGUUCACUUUAACACUGAGGCGUGAUGACGAGGCACUACGGUGCUGAAGCAACAAAUGCCCUGCUUCCAGGAAAAGCCUCUAAGCAUCAGGUAACAUCAAAUCGUACCCCAAACCGACACAGGUGGUCAGGUAGAGAAUACCAAGGCGCUUGAGAGAACUCGGGUGAAGGAACUAGGCAAAAUGGUGCCGUAACUUCGGGAGAAGGCACGCUGACA
rnacentral:rRNA from 1 species